UUGUUAGGCUCUAAGGUGCCACAAGUAUUCCUUUUCUUUUUACCUAUUCUUUAGGAUUCUGUACUGAUGGGACUGUUUCUUUCAGAGAUAAUAUUAAGGCUGAAACUCCCAACAGCAGGAUCUUCUGAAACCAUCUUACUGAUUGUUCAGAGGUCUGAGGGCAAUCAUCUGCAUUUCUUAUUUCUUAUUUUAUCUCCUUUGGAUUCCUGGGAUAAUUCAUUCCUUCUUUUUGCUUUUCAGACACAAAGAAUCAGGAGUUUGUCUGCUACAACCGCUUUGGGUAAUGCAGACUGAGAGCUGAGGGAUUCGUGAGAUAGGAUGGGAACAGUUGCACCCAAACAGCUGCAUUGCCUGACACCCACAUGCAAGUGGAAUUGGCUCAAUGCUGGUGUGCACUGACCGCAGAAAGAAAUACCAACUGCACUAGCGUUUUAAGACUAGCAGAGGAUGUUUUAUAAACACCUAAAAGAGCAUGCAUCAUAAAGUAAAAUAGGAAUACAAUUCUUUUGGAAGAAUACAUCUGUAUUGACAACGGUUUACAAAUUAGACACCUCAAGUAAUAUUUCUAGGCACAUUAAUCUGAAUUACUCUGGACAAAAUAGUACACUAUGACAUUUACAGUUCAUCACGCUAAUAUAUAGCUAACUUUCUUUUUAGUAGAACUGCACAAUGCAUAACACAUUGAAAGACAAAUUUAUAGGCUUAUUUUUUCAUAUUGCAAGCAAACUGUGAACAUGAAAUGCUUUCUAAUUUUAGUUUUCUUACUGCAGGCAAAUGAAACAAACUGCUGGGAAGGUAAUGAGAAUACAUUACUUCAUUCAUUCUCCCCUCUGUUAUACUGGUGCCUCCCCCUGGAAUUUAAUGGGGUGGCACCGGUGUAACUGAGUGGAGAAUUUGGACUUCACUAUUUAAAACUGGAAUGAAAUUCAGGUUUUCUCAGUACUGGUAACAAGUCUUGAUCCUUUUUUUGCUGAGUCCAGCAGCAGAAACAUUAUUAGUAUUGAAGAAAACGUAUUGAUUUUUAUCGUAGUUCCAAACACAGAGGGCAAAAUUCUUCCCUCACACCAGUGAAAUGUCAUUAUAGACUAUGGAAUUUCAUUAGAGUAACUAAGAGAAGAAUUUGGUUCAGCUAUUGUUCCCAUGUAACAUCUGAGCUAGUGCAUAAGUUCUGUGAGUUGGGACCUUAGGGAAAAUUCACCCCUGAACUGAAGCCAUUUUAUUCCAGCUGUGCUCAAAGUGGUGGAGGAUCCACCAGUUAAUUCCCUCCUGUGCAGACUGCACACUCCUCGCAGUGUAGAGCCAACUGUGCACUGACACUGUGGAAGCCCCAGUGCAUGGGCUAUUCUAGAAGAAAGGGCAGGCCAGAGGAUGGAAGGGACAGAGUAGGCAGAAAUAGGUAUGGCUGGAGUUGAUCACUGAUUUUCAGCUGAUGGAACCAUAUAUAGGGGCUAUAACAGCAGAAGUGCAAGUUAGGGAAGUCCCAGAGUAGCUGUAGCCUGUGCUUUGUUCCACAGCAGCAGCCAAUUACUGGAGGUGUAAGCACCCCACCUUCUCUAGCACUAGUACAAUGGGGGUCUGCUUACAUCUGUCAGUUUGUAUUCAUAUUUGACAAAUUCAAAAGCCACCUCAAUCCAUGCACAAUAACUAGAUACAACUGUUGUUCGUCUGGUUUUGUCCAAUUAGAAUGCAGUGAGAAUUAAGUCACGGGAAAGAAAAGAGUGCAAUAUUCCUACUGAUUGAGGUUAUUUCUUAAAAACAAAAACUGUGAAAGAUGUGAGUGACUAAUUUUUGGAGAAGGACUGGUGACUCAGGUACAAAAUUUCUCAAUAGUAAUGCCAAUUUUGCAUUCUUGGAAAAGUGUGAAAUAAAUAAAAAUUAAAAAUGUGUUAAUGAUUUAUCUUGAAAAUAAAUAUUAAAUUUUGGUCCAUAUAAAUCAUUGGUUCUUUAUGAAUUAUGGCAUACCUUCAAUAGUUAUUUAUUCUAAAACAUGAAUCGGUUAUACAUACAUGAACCCAGGGCAAUUAUGUAUAUCUGAAUACAAAAUAUGGCUUUUAACCUGUUUUACAGUUUAAUACUCCUACUGAAUUUAUAAUGAAAAGGAGAAUGGGGAAGAGAAUAAAAAUGUGAUUCUUGAAGUGAGACUGUUCCAAAAAAGGAAAAGGUUGCACUACUGAGGAAAUACUGAGGAAGAAUGGAUUUGAUUUGCUGGGACUAUUCCAUCUUUAACUUAACUGCAAUACAUAUGCAGGAAUGAGUUCCAGAUUCAUGGGCUGGUCACCAAGAAAGCUCUCUCUCCUCUGCACACACGCAAAUUUCAUCCUUGAGGCUGACAGUCCCACUGUUUCAGUGGGACAUAGUGAUUUUGGGAGGUCAUGUUCAUGCAGAUGAGUCAAUCCUGCAGCUACUUGGGCUUGGCCCAGGUUCUUCCUGAAGCAGCCGAAAUAGAGGCGCUGAUGUCAUUCUCACCUGGAUUGCCAUACAUGUACCUCCUGUGUUGAGGGUUCACAGCAGCCGUCCUACACCUCACCUAUGGAGGUCCACAGAAGAUAGACUACAAACCUCAGUGAAUUGGAGAGCUCACACAAUGUACAUUCACAGAUGGAGGAAAAAAGAACCCUUUCUCUCCUUGGCAAGAUGAGGGUCCCCCAGGAGUUAAGCACAACUGAAGUGUAUAGUGCACAGACACAGAGGAAAAGGAGGCUGUGGGAAGGCAGAGAAAAAGGUGGAGCAGCAUUUUCCAGAAAUUUAAGUCAUCUGUAUCUCUAGAUGGCUUUUCCUCUGGUUAGAUUCUCAGUUUUAUGGAUCAUUAUGUUGGCUUCUACAUACCUAUGACUCACUUACAUGAUCCCUAUUUGGAUGUAUGUGUCACACAGGAAAGUUCAAAUCUCCCUUGAUUUCAGAAUCCUUGAUUUCUGGCUCCUUGAUAACUAGCCCUGGAACUGUCUGUCUUGUUCUCUCCACCCCCAUAGUGGAGGUUUUUUCACCUUGUUGAAGUUUCUCUUUUGUUUUCUAUAUACAGUAUUGAGUGCUUCUUCCUCAAAGUAUUUUCAGAGUGCCUUUUUCAUUAUCAAACCUUACUGGUUUUAUAAAUAGAUUGCCAAUUAGUACUACACUCCUUCCAGUUCUUCCCCUUCUAUGUCCAGUAUAGACUUUAUCAUUAAUGUGAACUUUCGAGUUGUGAGAAUCACCUCAACAGUUUCAGUUCCUGCCUCAUUUCUGCUGGCCUCUCAGAGUUCAAGAUGUGCAUAUCAUCUGGAACUCAGUUUAUACUACAAUAAUAUACACUUAAGCAGCAGACUGUAAUAGCUAUAAAGGAUUUGUUGCAGUUUAUUGAAUAAACAACACAAAUAUCACCCCCAGUAUUUACUGAGUCUUAAAUAUGUAUUUAUAUGAGCACAAAUACUGCAAAGAAUGUUUCUGUGGGAAUUAUUUCUCAGGGCUGACAGGAGAUCAAACAGGAAAAUACUGAGAAAGGAAGAGAAAAUCCUUAAGUUAUUUUUUUAGAGAAAAAAAAACUUUAAUUUUUUUUUUAAAUUCUGAAGGGUCAUUGUAGUAUUAUUAGUUGAAUUGUUCAAUUUACUCAUGCCUAGUCAUUAAUGUUUAACUGUUCCACCUAAAUUUCCAAAGAUUUACACACAAUAGAGUCUCAAUAAGCCUAUAAAAGUCAAUGGGUGUUGUGUUUCUAAAUCCCAUGCAGCUAUUUGAAAGUUUAGGGGCUAAAAUUGAGGAUUGUUGGUAUUGUUAAUGGAUGAUCAUGGUGGGAUAGAUUAGAAUGUAUAGACCCAUCAAAAAUCUCCACAGAUUUAUAUGGGAACUAAGAAGCAAUGAAAUCAGUCAGGAUUGCAAGAUAAGGAAGCAUGUGUGUUUCUAUGCAUGUACACAGGCAUACUACAUAUGUGGAGGUUAUAUCCAUGUGAUAAAUUGCACAGCCAUACAAUAAAUUGCAGAGCCAUGUGAAAAUAAAUUUAUUAUGCACCACUGAGUGCCUCAUAUGCCAAUUAAUGCAUCUCCCCAGGACAUAUUCUACCAUUUCAACUAGCUUCGCCCAGCCAGCAAUUCAAAACAAAACAAAACAAAAACUAAAAGCCCUAAUAGAGGGCUUUUUCCUUCUCCCCCAAAUGUCGAAUUCCUCCCAAAGGAUUUUCCUGUUAAAAGACUGGAUCAGCCAGAUUUAGACCAUGUUAAUAUAGUUGCAAAAAGCCAGGCAAGAAGAGGAAGGGCUGGGAGAGGGUUGUAGACAGAAGCUCUACAGUAAGGUGGAAAGACAUAGAUAGAGCUAUUUUACGGAUAACAGCAUUUCCUUUUUUCUAAUAAAGUUCCUUGUUCAGUGUUAGUAAUGAUCUGUGAUUCUCUAGCACUUUUACGUGGCACCCCUUUCUUCACUUUCCCCUUAUUGCCCACUUAGUCUAGAAGCCCAUUCUCCUCAAAAAGAAUCUCUUCUUGCUCACUCUUCCCAUUGCUGUGUCUGGUCUUGUAUCCAUUUGUCUUGUCUCUCUUAGGUUCUGAUCCUACAAUUGGAUCUGUAGGAGAGUACCACAGAUUAUCACUAAAGUCAGUGGGGCUCCUCCACAUAGGUACAAGGGUUUGUGCACAUGGAUUAUAUUUGCAGGACAUGACUAAUCUUGCAAGUGACUCUGCAUGGGGGCAAGUGUCUGCUCAUGAAGAAUCAUUUGCAGGACUGGGGCCCGAGCUGGUAAGUGCUGUCUUUGGUGAAAUUUUGGGGUAGUGAAUUAAAACAAGCAGUUGCCUGAAAACGUAGAUAUUUUAUUGUACAUGGUGAUUAUUGGUUUAUGUACUGUAAAUUAUUAAUCAAUAGAUUUUAAAUAAAAAACAUUCACUGAGGGCGAGAACCAACAUAAAUUUACAAACCAAUAAGUAAGUCAAUGAAUGGACAUAAUAAAAAGGCAAGUGUAUUGCAUUACUACAUAGCCUUUGUUAAUUUAUUUUGACAAUCAUAGUUCAGGUUUAAUUGUAUAUUAUAACACUUCCUAUAGGAGUAAAUAUUGCAUAGUAUGUUUUUGUAAAAAUAUUGAUGCCUUAGUAAUGUUAAACAUUUUCUGUGAGGCGAAGACAGACUGUGUGAGGUUUAUGAGGUGUGUGUAUUAGUGAGGUUCUGUUGCUAUAUUGAAUUGACUUUCCUAAGGAAACCUCGGUGUUUCACAAGGAAGUGAUCUUCCCUGCUGAGGCUUUCCAACAAUUUGUACAUGUCACUCUUUCAGGUUUCAGUAUUGAUUGUGGCUUCCCAUUGCUCAUCCUACAGACACCAUCCUGGACAACAGAGGCCUGAAUUUGAGCUUCAUUACAUGAGGGAAAAUCAGGAUUAAUACCAAUUAAAUCGGAGCUGUUACACCAGUGUUGAAGCAGAAUCAAGCUCAAAGUAGCUUCACUGGCUUCUGAUUGCUUGUUAUUAUUGAAUACUCCAUAUCAUUUUAAAGUGGUACAAAGAUAAUUAUUUUGUAAAUACUCCCUGCUGCCUUGAUGUGCCAAGCAGUUUGGAUGCAUCCCAGGAUCUAGCUCCCUAAGCAUUAAGAUUCUAGCCAUGCCUUUCAAUUAGCCAAUGUGAGAUACAAUGUGAAAGAAUGGCCUAGAGUGAGGGAAACAAAAAAAAUCUAUUCAUACUGGAAACUUAAAGUACUGAGCAAUUCAUAUCUGUAGUGUAAAUAACUCUCUCUAUAUUCUUAGUUUCAUGAUUCUUUAUUUCUGAUAUAAAUCAUUUUCAACUACAAAAGUGAGGGCAUGAUAAGUUAGAGUAGGAUGUAGGGAAUUUUGGGACUAAAAUGAGGGAUAACCCUCCAAACAGGGGCCAUUUGAGAGGUAUACUUUUAAUGGCACAAUUUUGCACAGCCUGGUUCUUACACUAAGAUUUUUGGGAACAUGGUAACAAAGGAAUAUAAGGCAGGGCAGUAACCUAACCUCGAGGCUUCAAAACGUGAACUACAAUCUGUUGAGAGCGUUGUUUUUUUCAGAUUUAAAAUGUGAUUUUUUUACUUCUGCAGAAGUAAAGGAACUUUGCUUUUAAAAGUAGCUCCAUUGAUACUUAUGAUUAAACACAUAAGGGCAAACCACAAAAUAUAUUAUUGGAUACACUAAUGUCUUAAAAGGAUGCAUCCAUCUUAAACAAGGUCCUUGGAGAGUAUAUUAAAGGCUUGUCUUCACUACUGAAGCAAGUUGACCUAAGUUACGCUACUCCAGCUAUGUGAAUAACGUAGCUGGAUUCGACAUAGCAUAUAAUGGUGUCUUCACUGCUCAGCGUCAAUGAGAGAUGCUCUCCGGUUGUCUUCCUGUACACUUCUUGGAGAGCUGGAGUACUGAGGUCGACUGGAGAGCGCUCUGCCUCGACCCCUGCUGCAUCGAUUGCAGCAACGUCGAUCUCCGUGUAGUGAAGACAAGCCCUCGGAGUGGUGAUAGUAAGAACCACUGCAGCAGAGGAAGCCCAAUCACAAGGUUGAGAUUGGAGACACUGGGCUUGCUUCUCCUCGGCAGAGUAGUGCAGAUUUCACCUUUUCCACAAGUAACGGCUGCUGCACCCUCUAGGGGUUUCAUGGCAAGGGAGGGCAAGGAGUGUUUGCUGUGCUGCCCUAUCUCACAGGCUCUGUCAGGGAAGGGCUUCUAUGAAUCCCUGCUGGCAGAGGCUACCCAGGAGAGAGACGAAAACAGUGCAUGGCUGUGCCAGUGUUACCUGGCCAUGACACCUUCAUCAUCCACUUCUGAGUUACUCUGACCACAUUUGGGCUCUCUGACAGAGUGGGAGUUUCAGAAAUCUUGCCCAGCUUCAGCCUUCUGCAGGUGGGCUUUGUACUUCUGGAGACUUUCUGUGCUGGCUCCAGUGAAUCAAGGUCAGAUGGUAUCUUUUACAGAGACCUCAGGGUCAAAUUGUAUGUAUAUAAGUGGCUCCCAGAAUUUGCACUUAGUGCAUGUGGAAUUUGACUUUACAAUAAUGGACUUGUAGAUCAUGCAAUGCAGGAAUUCUCCUGCCUUUUACUCUGAUCCUUUCCUUGGAAACAUAUUUCACAACCUUGUGUCCCUGAGUCACCCUAAAUCUUUGUACAUAAUUUCAUCUCAAGUCCUCCUUGAAGUUCCUUCUUAAAAUACACACCUUCCAAAAGGCUUAUAGAUACCCUCCUUCCCUUCAUUCAAGUGUUAACAAAAUCCAUGUUAGUAAAUAAAUAAAUAAAAUAAUCACACAACUAGCAAGAUGAGCUCAAGUACCACUCAGUUGCUGUGUUUUUGUUAUAUCCCUUCUCCCAUCCUUCAUCGGUGCAUUAUCUAUUUAGAGUGUAAGCUCCUUGGGCCAACAGCCUUUUCUCUGCAUUUGUUUGUAGAAUGACUAGCACAUAUUGGUUGCAUCAUUGUUAUUUAUUAUUUGUUAAACACCAACAGCAAGCUUGCACCGUGCAAAACACAAAGGAAGACACAGGCCCUGCUCCAGAUAAUCUAAAUAAUCAUGAAUAUGCAUUUGCUUCUCUGGAGAAGAGAGAACAAAAACUCUUCUGGCUACGGUCUUUGUUCCAGGUUGAGAAAGGAUAAAAGCAAUGGGCCAGAUCCUCAUCUGGAAAUUUCAAUAGAGUAAUGCUGAUCUACACUAGUUAAGGAUCUGGCCCAUUGUAUUGGAGCAGGAGGUAAGAACUAUCCCAUCUGUACUGCUUGGACUUCAGCCAGUUUCAUUUACUAAAUUUUGGGGUGUGGUUAGGGAACUGGAACCAAUCAGCUAUGAUGUAGAUUCGUGUCCUUUGUGACUGACUAAAGCUAGUGGAGAGACAUGGGGCAUAUCAUGGAUGAGGCAUGGGGCAUAUCAUGGAUAAUAAUGCUCUGCAAGAGGACAAGCUGCCAACGACACUUAAACAAGCAUCAGUUAGUCCCUUCCAGAGAAACCACCCUUAGAUGUUAACAGCCUCCCCAGUCACCCACUUGGACCCCAAUUUUUUGGGAAGGAUGAAUAGGUGGUAAUGGGUCAUCUCCAGCUAGAUUUAGAUUCCACACAUUUGUUUUACCUUGAGCAGUGCAAGUUCAGAACUGUGUAUAGGACUGAGACUAUACAGAUAUUUUUGGCUGAUAAUUUCAUAGUUGUAAUGGAUAAGAUGUGUCUGUGGUGAUUUGAUUGGAUCUCGCUAAAGCUUUUGAUACCAUUGACCAUGAGGUCUGUACUGACUCACCUGCAAGAUCUUGCACAAGCGAAUGGACUGGCCCAUCAGUGGGUUCAUUUGUUACUUUCCAGGUCAGUGCUGAAUGAUGAAUUGCUCUUUCUCUCUGUGGGCCUGCCUAUGCCAGAUCCUGCAGGAUUCUGUCUUAUUCCCUCUCCUGUUUAAUGUAUAUAUGAAGCCUCUAGUGUAUUUUCCAGGAGCCUCUCUGAUGAUCUGGCAGAAAUAGGGAGCUGGAUAAAAACAAACUGGCUAUGACAGCCAGGAUAAGACUAAAGCAAUACUUGUCAACAAGGGGAAGUAUAUAAAAGAAUUGACAGAAGUAGUGUCUGCAGCACUGAUUGAGGGAACAUACUCACUUCUGCCAAAAUGGUGUUCUGGCUACGGGUCCUAUUAGACCUAUUGCUGAUUCUGUAUUCUCAUCAGCAAUGACUUAUAAUAUCUGUCAUGGUCUGUGGGUGGUCAGGAGAUUGUGUCUAUUCCUCUCUGUGAUGACCUCACAAUGGUCAUCCAUACCGUUGUUACUGCAAUAAUCUCUACUUAGGGAAAACCUUGAAGUCCACCCAGAAGGUCCAUCUGGGGUAGAACACCUGAGUGAUGUCAGCUACCUUGAGUCCUUAAAGCCUGUGCUCAAAUCUCUGUGUUAGAUUUCUAUUUAUUCCAGAUGGAAUUGAAACUCUUGCUUGUGAUCUUCAAAGUCCUGGUGGGGUGAGAUCUAAUUAUUUGGAAUACUGUCUGUCACCUGAAGCCCCAUCAUAAAAGUUCAGAAAAAAUGGGAGACUCUUGAUAUUAAUUCCUGAAGUAAGUUUGAAGUACUCCUUGUCUGGCAGCAAGAUUUCCUUAGUUGAGAGCUGUCAUUGGCUUUGGAAUUUGCUUCCCUUGGAAGUCCAACAGAACUUGAGUAUAGUGACCUUCAGGGCAUAAUGCAGGGCACUUAUUUUGUUUAUCAUUUGAAUGACUGCUUUUGUUUUUGUCCUUGCCAUACCUAAUUAGUUUUUAAUCUUUGCCUAGCUAGUAUAGCAAUAGGUGCUACAGAAAAGAGAAAAUAAACAAAUAUGUGCUUUGUUUGAUGGACAUCAAGGAAUAUGUGAGGCCUUCCUUCUGCAUUGGAGCAGCUCACCCUGCUAAAGACUUUCCUACUUAGUCAUAAGUAGUUAUAAGCAUUGCAUGGGGUGCUUAUAACUCGGAUGAGGGAUUAUGCAAGCAGUUAAUGACACAAGGAUGAAGUUUGCAGUUUUCUUGUUCCGUCUUUGAGGCAGCUAGCACCCAAUGGCUAUCUGAUGUAGAGAACAGGGUCAGUACCUCUGAGGAAAUGAAGGCCAGAGUCAGCAAGGGCUGUGAGACACAGAUGGAGAAGUAUCCUCACUUAGCAAAAGAAGUAGAUAAUUUAGAGAACCAGUUGGUCUACCUGAGUCUACAGUAUUUUCCUCUGAUUCCUAGUACUAAUUGGGCUUGGGUGACAGGGCAUGGAUCACUUGAUGAUAACCUGUCUGUUCAUUCCCUUUGGGGCAACUGCCAUUGGCCACUGUCAGAGGACAGGAUACUGGGCUUGAUGGAUCUUUGGUCUGACCCAGUAUGGCCGUUCUUAUGUUCUGAACUGGAGUCCUGGCUAUGGUAAAAACCCUUGUGCUGUCAUCAUUAUUAUUUUUUUAAAACUUUGGCAAUAGAGGGAGAGUCUACAGGAUACUUAUUCUCAGCCCAUAUACUGUGCCAUGGAUAAAAAUUACAUUUUUCCCCCCAGAAAUUUUCAGUGAAGCUUGAAAGAGAGAGGAAGGAUCAAAAACCCAGAGCUGCAGUGAGAACAAAAGUUUGUAGCUCUUUCCCCUAUAGGACUCCAAGUAGUCUACAAGGGACAGAAACUGUUAUUUUUUUUUAACAAUUUACUGAAAGGGGAGAACUGUAUAUAGAAAAUGAACAACAAGAAAGGAAUAUCAUGAACAAAAUCGUCUAUUUGCUAUUAUGGCACAGAUUGAACAGCAUCAUCAGGAGAAGAGGUGGCUAAGAGGGUUUCAAACCACUUUUAUGGCCUCAGUUCCAGUCAUGGAAUGUCCAGCUGCCAGUCUGUGGAUUGGCCUAAAGUAGAGCACCUUUCUUUCCCCCCCAUCCACACCCCAUAUAUGGGGGACUGGAGUGGGAAUGGCAUUGGAACUGCUAUGGGAUCUUUAUAUCACUAGAAGAUCCCCAUUGUAUCCACAUGUGUAUGGCUUCUUUGUGCCAGUGAACCAGUGCAGAGCCUCUGUUUCUAUGUUACUCCAAUCUUUCAUAACGUAUUACAUUGACUUCCUGUUAAAUAUUUCAUUAAUCCCAAAAUUUCUUAUAUUCCCCCCUUGAUACAUGUCUAACUCUAAUUAAACUUAAUAGCUGUUAUGUGCACACAUCGUGGGUAGAAUAGCCCAUUUUUAAAGGGGUUCAAAAAUGGAGAGACACAUCUUUAACUGAACUGCUCUAAGUUAUUCUGUGGAUCAUCCGAAGCAGCUCUAUAUACUAUUUCGCUGUUUAAGAUUAGGAAAAUAGUUCUUGGUUGCUAGCUGAAAUAUGGAAAUCAGUCUUGACCAGCAUCCAAGUUGCCAAAUUAAUAAAUAUUCAAAUCUAAUCUCAAAUAAGAAUUCAUUUCUCAGUUAAAUCUGAAUGAUAGAGCACCUUUUGCACUUUGGUAUUAAUGUGUUCGGGAAAUACACACAUGUAUGUAACAUUAUUUUGUAUUGUAAAAACAUACUAUAUUAUACCAUAUUAUAUCAUGCAAAAUCAUAAGUAGCUACAAGGUAUUUAAGCACAUGCCUGACUCUAAACACGAGUAGUCCAACUGAUUUCAGUGAGACUACUUGUGCUUAAAGUUAGGCACGUGCUUUACUACUUUGAUAAAUCAGUCAGUGCCAAUACCAUUUAUAUUUAGACCUUAUUACAGGCCUUUUUAUCUAUGGUCAUUGAAUUACCUCUAAAAUGAAAACAAAAAUAUUUUAAUAUUAGCGUUUUAUACACAGCACAUUUGAUAUUUGUCUAAAUGAUGUGAAGAAUAAUGUCAGAAACCCUCUAUGGCAGGUUCAAUAAAAAAUAUGUUCAGUUGGCACUCUUUGGAAGACAGGGCAAGGCUGAUAAAACUUGGUGCAGAAGCUGAAUAUAUUUUUAUUGGAUGCAGCUCUUAGAGACCAUACAGUUGAAAAUGGGUAUAAAUGCGUUUAUAUAUAACUUUUCUAAGUGCUUGCCCUUCAGCCAUCCUGCAAUAGUAUAGAUCAGAAGUGUAGUUUUAAAAAGUUAGGAUGGGUUGAUAAUAUGAAAGUUCUUAGAUGUUUUUAAAAAAAUGGUUCACAUGCAUUUUCAGAUGUACUGUUCUCUGAAAUGUCUGUUUUCAAUGGUUAUAAUGUGCUCUUUACUUAAGAUAUUUAUUAGUUUUACAAAUCUGAAACUAACAAACAAGUCUCUGCUUACUAUAUUGUGUUGUGGUAGUACCUAUGCACAUUAUUUGUGGUUGUCUUUUUUUUCAAUACAAAACAAGUCAUGAUUAAUAUAAAUGAGCCCAGAUUGAUUCAGAUACAAUAAGGGCUGAAGAGUGAUGGCUGAUGCAAAGAGGGGUUAUUAGUAUUGUUCUUGCUACGUGAUGAAUUAUACUACAUCAUGCAUUAAAACAAUAAAUUGUCCUUCAGGGUAUCAAAGAUAUGAGCAAACAACAUGAUGGCAAAUACAUGGUCUUUUAACAGAUAGAAAAAGUUUGAAAUUCAGCAAUAAUUUGAAGACUAUUUUCUGAGUUUCAGAGCAUGAAGGAAGGGAUGCUGCAGUGUCUCAGGAUAGUUUUGGUCACUGAACUUCUUGCCUCUUUAAACUCCCCUGGGCUCCAAUCCUGCACACCUUACUCUAUCAAAGCCACCACUGUAGUUAAGGAGAGCUUUAACUGAGAAAGAAGUACAGGAUUGGGUCCUCUGUUCUUUGGAAGUGGCAGGUUUAGCAAUAACCCAGAAUGAAUGUACUUGAUUAGCUUUCAUGUACAGGGAUGGAGUAGGUCAGAGAAAACUAUUCUCUCUCUCUUUCUCUCUUGAUAUAGAUAGAUAAAAUAGAGGUGCUUACUUUUGUAAAUACUCUGGUGGACUAUGGCUGCUAAGAAACUUUUGUCUGUCAUCAUGAUCACGGGAGAAACAAGUGGCCAGCUGUGGUUUCACAGGUGCAUGGAAGAAACCUGCAGAAGGCAGCUGUGGAAGUAACAUGGGAAAAUGCUGACAGGGAAAAUUUACCCUUGUAUAGGAUUUUUCAUUUCAAAGUGCUUGUAAAAGGUGUUGGAGAGGGAUGACUUUUACUAAGUGAUGAAGUAUAGCAUAGGCAGCAUCAAUGCAAGCUCCCCCUUCACUACUCCAACUAUUUUUUGGAGGAACUAGCCCCAGUACUAAAGUUUAGUCAGCAUGCUUCCUCUGUCCCUGGACUUUUUGCUGAGCGUUCCAGUAAAGGAGCCACUUCGUAUGAAAUAUAACAAUGGUUUUCAAGAUAUGGGGAGACCUGUCUACUGGGAACGUGAUUUUGAACAUCAACCUAUUUCAUAUAUAGGCCCAACAUUCAGCAGAAAGUCACUACUUACUUGAGUUAGAUUUGAACUGCUGACCUUGAAGAAGAAAAGUUCCAUAACUCAUUAUCCGCCUUGAGCUAGCUGGUUACUAACACCCAGGAUGGAAUCUCAGCCCUAUUGAAGUCAACAGGAGUUUUGUCAUUGACAUUGAUGGAGCCAAGAUUUCAACCCUGCUCUUUAACAUUGAGGUGGAUUUUCUGCAUCCUCAUCAGUAACAGGCCAUAAAUCUAGCCACAUCAUCAAGGCUCAGCUACUCACUGCCAUUGCUCUCCUGGUAAAAGUCAUGCACAGUCUUUAGUUCCUAGAAGUGAUGAGGACACCUGAUAGAAAAAUCAGGAAGAACCCAGUUCCUAAAGGGAAGAAAAGAAGUCCAACCACAAGGUAAAAACGAGAGCUAAUGUGUUAGAGGUCCUACUUCCUUCGUGUAGGCAUUGGACUUUGUCAUACAGAAACUUAUGUCAAAGUUCUUGUGACAGAAUAUACCUCCAUGUCCAUUAUUGUAAUAAUCUUUGUACAAAGUGUGCCUUGUGAGGUAUCAUUUAAAAACUCAUAAUUUGCUGGUCAUUAUUGUCCUGGCAAAAUAUAUUGGCAACAUUGUAUAUAAAGUUAUAAGAUUACACUGUAUGGUGUUACUAAAACAUGUUCCAAAUCUGGGGAAUGGCCAAACCAGUUCCUCAGAGACAAAGGGCAAGCUGAUGCCUCAGUCAGAUGUAAACUAGGCCAAUGGUCCAUUACCUGCUACAUGGCCAUUCUUUGACAGGAAAGGGGGCAUGCACAAAAAAUCUUAGCAAAGAAGCAGCAGAGUGUUUCCAUCACAGAGAUUGCCUGUUGCAUUGCUCCCAGCUGGAAAUGCUUCUGAAGGGGGGGAGGGGAGGACUAUAAAAAGAAAGGGGAAAUGCCCCAAGUCACCCCUCCUCCUUCUCUCUCUCUCUGUCCAUUGAUUCACUGAAUGAGAAGGAACAAAGGAAGCAGCCUUUACACAUAAGAAGGGGUCCUGGCCUAAGGAGUUUGGUCAGUAAGACCGUUUAGAACAUGUGGUGAGAAGAACUUUGCAUUGAAUUUAACAUAGUUUGUUCACUUAGGCACUAGUUGCAUUUUGUCUUUAUUUGUCUUGUAACCAUUUUUGACUUUUAUGCCUUAUUAUCCCUUGUACACUAUACAGUCUUACACCUACUGUCCUAGGGCAUCCUCAGCUCGGCAUGAGUGGGGAUGGAUGCAAAACUCAGGCUGCAGCCUGAGCGUGAAUAUCUAUACUACAAUUAAACAGCCCCUUAGCCUGAGCCCCAUGAGUCCAAGUCAUAUGACAAGGGCCAGUUGCGGGUGUUUCAUUGCAGUGUAGAUAUACCCUGAGUGACCCAGAGCCCCUAUAGUGUCUCCUACACCCCUCUGGCACUCAGCCCAGUGUGUGUAGCUGGAGCAAAGGGGGCAUGGCUGGGCAGCUCUAUGCCUUAAUGCCAAAGGGGGCUGCAGACAGCAGUACACGAGAGCAGCCCUGAGGAUGCUCUAACUUAUGCUGCACGCUGACUUGGUUCCAAGCUGGUCCCAGGCUUGGGAAAGUGUAAAGGUGGCUUGAAACUACCUUUGUUCACUGCCCCCAAGGCCCUACUCUCUGAGUCUUGUAUUGAGUGCAGCUUGGCCAUGCUGGAAGAUUUGGGUCUUCAUCUUUAAAGCAAUUUGCAAAUAUUGGGGUAAACCACUUUGCCUUACUCAUGUUACUAGUCCCAUUGGCUUCAGUGGGACUACUUGCAUCAAUAAGAUAAUCAGGAGGCUAUUAACCAAUUAAUCCUCUCAAAAGCUCUGUGAGGUAGGUACUGUAACCAAGAAUUAUCCACAUGUUAUAUAUGCCAAAGCUAUUGUAAGUAAAGUUUACUAGUAAGUAGAUUAAUAUGUUUUGUAAGGGGCAAAAACUUGAGAUGGCUUAUAAAAUCUUACUCAUUUGAAAAGGCAAACCACAUUUUAUCGAUUUAUUUUUAGUAACUGGUGAGUCAGGCCUAACAAUGAGUCAGGCCUUCUAAGAAAGCCUUUUUAGCCUUGCACUGUGUAACCAUUUUUAGGGCUGUACCCUGCAAGGUGCUGAGCAACCUCCCUGAAGUCAAAGGGAAUUACUCAGCAUCUUGCAGGAUCAGGCCCUUACAAAGUAGACAUAGUGUGCCCAUUGGAUAUGUCUAUACUACAGCUGGGAGUCAGCCUUCCAGCCUGGGUAAACAGACUUGCAUUAACUUCACUCACACUAGUGCACUAAAAAUAGCAGUGUGGAUGGUGUGGCAGUGAUGUAGAUGUGGGCUAGCCACCCAAACUCAGGCCCAGAGGUUUGGGUGGGCUUGAAAACCCAAGUUGCUGUGUCCACAGCUAUUUUUCAGCGUGGUAGCUUGAACAGAGCUAGCGCAAGUCUGUCCACUGGGCUAGGAAGCUUGCUCCCAGCUGCAGUGUCGACAUCCAUGAACUCCAGGGAGUUUUGGAUCAGGCCCAUUGUAAUUUUAUGUUCUUUACCUUGUGUGACUUCAGAGUGCUACAUGAUUGUUGAAGAUAGCACAGCAGCUUAAUUUUUAAAAAGAUCAGCAUGCACUUAGCAUUUGCUUUUUAAAAUUUAAAUUGAAAGUUUGUUUAUUUUUUUAUUUAUUUGUGUUUGUAGUGGGAUAAUUCCCUUGCAGCCUAGAUUUCUCUGUCUUUCAGAAUACAGUAAUGCCACCCAGCUAAUUUUUCGUCAUUAAACCCUCAAGCAGUUACUAAAGGGAAAAAUUAUAAUUCUGUCUCUUCCACAGAAAUGAAAAUUUGCAAACCUAAGAUUAGGUAGAAUACAUUAGCAUAUGCACAAGUGCUUAAUUACAUUAGUGAUGCAAAUGUUUCGCAAGAUUAUGCUUUUGUAAACAAAAUGAUCUUCUUAUUAUAGAGAAUUUGUGAUAACUGCAAUGUAAAGGAGCCUCGGAGGAAAAAUUAGGAGAAAUGAGGAGGACUACUGUAUUCAGUGCCUAAGACAAGGGUUUCCUUAAAAUACAUUGAAUCCCCAGUAUUUCAUUAAAAAUGUCUGUUUAAUUUUACAUGGUAGAUUCUAUAACAACCCUUUUUUUACUAUAUGGUUUAUUUUUACUUUAAUGUAAUAGAACUGGAGAAAUUAUGUCACAGAUAGCUAAGCUUCUGGAUAUUCUAAACCCCAACAAUUGGAAACAUGCAUUGGUAUAGAACUAAUUUCACACCUUCUGCAUUAAAACUUGGAAUAUAUAUUCAUACAUUUAUUUUACAUAAUAUUAUAAAAUACAUUAAGUGGCAUGAAAUAUAGUGCAAUGAAUAGGUGGAAUUUUUAGGAAACAGGCUCAUUUUAUAUUUGCACCUGUAGAUGGUAUUCUGCAUCUUCAAAUUGGUGCUUACAUGUCAAAAAUAAUAUUUUUUCCAUCAGUCACAAACUGUUUACUAACAAGUGUUACAGUUUCUUACAUUUUUAUUUUUAUUUUUGCUGUUAGGUUUAAUUAUAAUUUCCCACAAUAAACUUUUUCUCUUCAACAGAAUUACUUCUGUCCUAAGGGCCCAAUCAUGCAUUUCUUGAGCACCCCCAAAAUCUCACUGAAUUGGAUGAGAGUCUUUGCUCCAAAAGAUAUGCAUGAUUGGACCUUAAGGCCCUAAUGAUGUUGGGGAAUGAACCAGUCCUGGCUUUGUUAGUAGCAUAUGACGAUUAAAGGGUCUAUACAUGAUUUGUUUGGGAUGAGCUGCAUAAUUCACUUGUGGCUUUGCAACUAAUUAGUAAUACAGCAGUCCCAAACUCAUGGCAAUAAAACCUUUCUAUCAUUUCCCAUCAUCAUUUAUUCAUGUGUGUGUGUAUAAAACCAGUGUUAAAAAAAUGUUAUUUAGAUUGCAAAGUCAAGCUCUCAAAGUUAGGAAACGCCAGCUAUACGGUUGCCCAGGCAACCUUGUUUCUGCAUCCUUGUGCCCAUUCCAUGCAAUAAAUUACAGCUAGGUCCUGUGGAAAAAGAAGUAUGUGAUCAUGUUAUUAAAGACUGUACCAUAAUGCAUAUACACAAGGGGGAAGCAUGCAUGGGUAACCAUAAAUUUGGCAUUUCCUAACUUUGAGAGCUUGACUUUGCAUCUAAAUAUUAUUUUUGGAGGUAGUUUAAAAAAAAGUAAUUUCCUAAUUUUUUAAAAGGAAAAAGGUAAAAAAUUAUAUUAUGUACAAUUGCAGAAACCCCAUGCAUCUUCAUCAGAGCCUGAAUGGUGAACCUUCAGCAUCACAACACUGAUGUCCAUCACUAGAGCUACUGGACUAGCUACAGUGUUUGGCAGCAGGAGAAAGCUAUUAUGCUGCUUUUAUUUCAUUGUAUUUUAUGAUUAAUUAAAUCAGGCCUAGAGCCUUGCACAGGCCUUUUUAUCAUUUGAAAUCCAAAUAUAGAAAAUGAAAUUAAAAAAUUCUUAGAGGAGCCUGGUGCUGGGUCCAGGGUCUCUUGGCCAUGUUAAAGUUACUCAGGCAGCUCCCUGGCUGGAUCCUCAGCUCUAGUCAAUGGAGCUACACCAGUUUACUCCAGAUGAGGAUGAGGAUCUGGUCUCAUGAAUAUGUGUAUACACAUACAUACGCACACACAGAGAUAUACUAUGUAUACAUAUUAUAGAGAAGCUAGGAGUGACCGCUAUAUUUAGGUUGUCUAACACUUUCCACUAUAAUAGAUUCUUGUUUUGAGAUGAUCUAACACCUUCGUUUUUUGCAGCAAGCCUUUGAAAUUCAGCAAGGAGAAAGAUCCGAUUAAUAUCACUCUAAUUCAUCUGUUGUAUUAGUGGAAACAAACUCUCUCUUUCUCAUGCAUACACACACACGCAUUUCUAUUGAGAUGCAAUUAAAUGAUUUACCAAUAUCUAGCUAUCUAUCUACCUAUAUAUCUAAUUUCAGACAAUUUCUCUAGUAUCAUGAUGCUUUACUGCCAUGAAACCCAUUUCACAUUUCAUCAGUCCCUCUGAAAAUGAUGGAGUGAGAUCAUUUACCCAGUUCUUGUUAAUGGGUUGGGCCUUUUUUAUUCUUACUACACAAAAUGAGAGAAUAGCAUGGCAAAUUCAUAUCCAUUACUAUAACAGAUAUACUGCUUGAUACUAGUCAGAUCUUGUUUAAUAGUUGCGCUAAUAAAGAAAAAUAUCUGUGAUUUGAGAACUUUUAAAAUCAGAAUAAUUGGUAGAUCAUUUUCUGGUCUGUAUAAACUCCUGUUCUAAUUGAAAAUGUGCCCAAUCCACAAACUUCAGAUCUUUAUCCAAAUUGUUCAGGAAUGGUUCAAUUCAUGGGUUUGCUUUUGGACUUCUGUAGUUCUGACAGUUUCUAUUUUAAAUAUGUAAUCAUAACUAAUAAUACUUUGCAGUUCUACAGAGCGAUUCAUCCGAACAUCUCAUUGCCCCUUACAAAACUUUAUUAUCACAAUCUUCUGAGGUAGUCAAGGGAGAUAAAGGAAUCAUUUCACCCAAACUGAAAUGCAGCUAUCUCUGGAAUGGAAUGUGGCAGCUGUUUGACAGGAUACAGUAAUGCAGUUUGGGACAGGAAACAGAGAAGAUGUUUGUGUUCAUCUGAAACUAAAGAGGAAAUUUUCAGUGUAAAAAUGUAAUACCCAAUCUAGAAUCUGGCUUGAGACUAGAGUAACACUCCUACUCUAAGAAAUGUGCUAUGGUCCCAUACUUUCUGCUGCACUCAGCUUCCAUAGACCUUAAAUUAUUGUAGUUAUAUUAGGAAAUCAGAUACUGUGCUAAUGGGUGCAUUAUAGGUACCUAGAUGGAUGGAUAUAUAUUUAAUUGAUAUUUCAAAUUUACAUAGUUCCGUUGGCGUGAAAGAGCCUUUUAAGGUGAAAAUGCAUGGACAGUUAAGGGCCUGUUUAACUUCCUGAACUCAACAAGGAGUGAUACGUAAGAGUCUGUUCAUACCUCUAACUUGGGCCAAGCUUGUUGGGGAUGUUUCGAGAAACCAAAAUAGGACUAAAUUUAAAAGAAAACUAAAUUAUUUUAGUUCUCAGAUAAGAUGUUAACAUAUUAUUCUUUUCGCCAGUGGAUGUGAUUUUUCUGAAAGCAUCCACUAUAUUUUGAUUUAAUUAUUGCCCUUUUGAAAGGUUUAGAAACUAAUACAGCGUUCCAUUUUCUGCUGUGUAGUUCAUGCAGUAUUCAUAUAUACAAUAUCAUUACUUUCAAAUGAGUUUGUGAUAAAAGGAACCGGCCGUAUUCCAUUGGCCUUCUCCUUUUUGUUUAAAGAGGCAUGCUUCCACUGCAGAGCAGUAAUGGCAAUAGUGCUUUGGCAAACAGCUGUAAAACAAGAAAAGUCCCACUUUCCUGUAUUAAUCCAUCAGGACGCUUUCAGGGAUUCUUCUUGUCUAAAAUAUUCAUAGACAGCAAAAUGUCCUGAAUGCCCUACAGAAUUUGUGCAGAGCCAGGCAGAUGAUUGAUAGUGAAGUUCUGUUCUGAGUCACUCCCAGUAUGUAAUUCUAUUUGUCUUGCCAAACACUAAAGAGCAAGCAUCUCAUAAAAUGUAAAGGUAACAGGCCUUGUAUUUUCCCACAUUUAAAAAAAGAACCUGGUGUCUCCACUUCACUGUGCUUCAUUGAAUGUAACAAAUUUCUAUUAAAUCAAAAGAGAAAGGCAUAGUGUUCCUGGAGGAGUACUUAAAAGCUAUAUUAAGCAGCUGUCAUUUAUUGUAUCUUAUAUGUAUAUGCGUAUAUAAUUUCAAAAAGUCUCCACCACAGAUUACAUCAUAAAAAAUUUACUUCUUAAAUAAAUCAGUGAGAUAGCUCCCUUCCUUCCUUUGUUAUGACAUUCAAAAGAAUGUUUUUUUCAAGAUCGCACCAUUCAGACUAAGUACACCCCCCUCCAUUAAAAUAACAUUAAGGCAGAAACUCCAGUCUUUACUCACCCUGUUGUACCCAGAUAAAGUGGAUGAUAUAAUGCAUUAAUGAGGCUGUGGUAUCUAGAUUUAUUAGAACUUUCAACCACCAUUGUCUCCAAUAGCAUCGUGGUCAAGUUUGCAUGCCUUAUUGUAUUGGCCAUUACUACUUCAUCAAUGAUAUCCUAUUGUUUUGUUGGCUCCUGAGCAGCAAUGUGCAAAAGAACAAAUUAAAGAUGAAGUUUCAGCUUAAAUGCUGGCUUUCAUUGGUUUUCUUAUUUUAAGCCAGGAUAUCAACAUUGUUUAACAUUUGGUAUUGCAUUUAUUUGUUUGUAUUAGGGAUAGUAUCCAAGUGCUUGCCUGCUAGCUGGCCUGCCUGAUAACAUGCACUUAGCCAGCAUCUUUAUUUCUAGUCCUGCUGCGUCUUACUUUUACUGUGCAAAGUCUCACUGAAAGAAAUUGUGCAAGUGUCCUGUUAAACAGACACUGCUGGGAACGAGAGUCAGGCACAAUCAAAAUGGUGUAAGAGUAGCAAUUUUUAGUAUUCGAAAUGCUCAACAAAAUGUCAGAUUGGGAAGAAAAAGGGUUAGCAAGUUAUCCACCCAGCAGUGGAAUGAGUCCCGUGUAGUGGUCUUUAUUGGCCAUCCAGGCCUACAUAGUUAAGGCAGCUGACUUCAGCCUUAUCUGCCACCUCAUCUCACAUUUAGCCAAGCUAUGAGAUCGGCAAGAUGCCACUGUCCCCCAAUCCACCCUUCCCUUGUCUCUGAUAAGAGUGCGCACAAAGGUUGUGUACUUGACCUAGCAGCACUCCAUCCUUAUGCCAAUCAAAACUUCAGGUCCCAGUCAAAAACCACUCACAGGCCUGUGUUCAGGACUAGGAUAGGUAAAUGACCCUGCCCCCACCAUUAGACCAUUGGUCAAGUGCUCAACAAAGAGAGCAAAUUUAUGCUUUUAACAUUUAACCCUUAUAAAUGCUUCGGGGAACAUAGAAACCUCCAACCAUCAAUCUAUAGUAGGGGAAAACUGAUUCCUGAAAACAACAGGCAAUCCACAUAGAGCUGAAGCAAGCUGUUUAACCCAGUGCUCAAACCCCAGAACCAUACUCAAUAUCCACUAGAAAAUUCAUGGUGGGAGGAUGGGGCCAAGCUUCCAGCUAAAAGACUCUCUCCCACUCUGAAACAAUAUCCCCCUCCCCCACCCCGAAACUGGAAUAGGGGAACCAAUAAGCCCUUCCUGCAGCCUGUAAAUAGACCAAUCAGUGCCAUCGGCACACAGAGGCCUCCUCCAUGUGGUGGCCACAAAUGCUAUGGGGGACGGGGCUGUUUCUGUCCACUGUAAGGAGUCCAGAAGUGCAAGUGCCCCACUGCUCCAAACAAAGGACACAUCACAGUGAGUGGGGAAGCUGUCCUUAGGAGUGAGAUUUACAGAACCAAAGAGUGAGAUUCAAGGCCAAAAAGUAAGAUUUUCGAGGUGGUGUGCUAGGUCAUUGCUUUAGACCAGGGAUCGGCAACCUUUGGCACGCGGCCUGUCAGGGAAAUUUGCUGGCAGGCCGGGCCGGUUUGUUUACCUGCCGCGUCUGCAGGUUCGGCCGAUUGCA